rnacentral:rRNA from 1 species
UACGGGGGGUGCGAGCGUUGUCCGGAAUCACUGGGCGUAAAGGGCGCGUAGGUGGUUUGAUAAGGGUGUGGUGAAAGCCCGGGGCUCAACCCCGGGUCUGCCGUACCGACUGUCAAACUCGAGGGCUGUAGAGGCAGACGGAAUUCCGGGUGUAGCGGUGGAAUGCGUAGAGAUCCGGAGGAAGACCGGUGGCGAAGGCGGUCUGCUGGGCAGUUUCGUGACACUGAUGCGCGACAGCGUGGGGAGCAAACAGGG